GGAGGCACGGGGCGCCCCUGACUGUCUCUCGUUAAAGGAGGAGGCUGUGUAAGAAAGGAGGCAGGUGUUGGUGAGAAGCACGCGCAAGGCAUCCAUUUCAGGCCCCCAGAGCAGUCUGGCCUGGGGUUCAGUGUCACCAGGGAUAUUUCGUGGACUCUAGUGUAGGAGGGAGGCGCCGAGACAAAAGAAAGAUGAGAAAGCAAUGAGGGGAGCUUUUACUUGGGACCUAAUUCUGACCCACAAGGCAGAACUUGUUGGAAGGACUGGAAGGCCAAACCCUAAUUUGAGACUCCAGGAAUGAACCCCAGGCCUCUCAUCACUGACCUUCCAGAGAACUUGCCACCUCUACAGCAGUCAAGAACUUGAGGAGUCUGGAAGCCACUGCUACAAUGUUGAAUCAAGAAACACGCUCUUCAGCUGGGAUAAAGGAAUCAGGAAGUGGAGACUGAAACUUUGGUUACAAACUCCACAUUCACUGAAUGUUUCUCAUUGACAGGACCCGUGUCAUGCUCUAAACUGGUGAAAGCGAUUCUGGGAAGUUUUUGGGUUUUCAUUCUCAGCAGUCUAGGAGUGCACACCUUUAUUCCCACUCUUAAAUUCUAAUAAUAAUAAAAAAAAAAAACAACAGCAACAGCAUCAUGCUCCUACCCAAUAUAACCAUCCCUUCAUACAAACAAUCCACUCAUCCAUCCAUCUUUUUUCUGUUAAAAUCAGACUUAUGCCGAAUAUACAAUUACAGAUUUUGACAAAGCUGAUUAGUAGCCACAGACUUUCAUCCUUGAAUAAUAGAUAAUUGCCAAGAAUCUCCCAUUCAAUCUUGAAUAUAGAAACAGCCUAGUAGCUAUUUACCUCGCCAUGUUUUAAGGCAGGGCACUAAAAUUUACAAUGCUGUUUUACACAUACAACUUCAUUUGAUUAUCACAUCAUUUGGUGAACUGGACAUACAUAGGGGCUACUGUUUUCAUUUUAUAGUUGAGAUAAAAGUCUCACUCUAUAAAUGCAUUCUAUAAAUUUUAGCUAUAUUUAUAUUAAUUGCAAAAUCCUUUAGUAUCCAAAUGUAUUUAUAGCCCAUCAAAGAGAAAGAGGUUGUGUAUUACGCUCAGUAAUGCUACUUGCAUGAUAAACAAUACAGGUUAUGUGUCAAUUUCGUCCCAUUGGACAGUGCGCUCAUCUGUUUAGAAGAGACGGUAAGCAAUUACCUUAGCCUAGUUAAUAAUUUUCUUUUUUUCAGCUUUACUGAGGUAUAGGUGAGAAAUGAGAAUUGUAUACGGUUAACGUGUUCGACUUGAUGUUUUGACAUAUGCAUGCAUUAUAAAAUGAUCACCACAAUCAAGUUAAUUAACAUAUCCAUCACCUCACAUAGCUAUAAUUUUCUUCUUUCUUUUUUGUGAGAACACUUCAGAUAUGCUCUCUUAGCUGAUUUCAGAUACCCAAUAUAAUAUUGUUAAGUACAGUCACCAUGCUGUACUUUACAUCUCCAGAACUUAUUUAUCCUGUAUGAUUGAAACUUUGUACCCUUUGACCGACAUCUUCCUAUUCCCCCCACCCCUGGCUCCUGGCAACCACCACUCUACUCUCUGCUUCUAUUAUUUUGACUGUGUUUUUUUUAAAUGUUUAUUCAUUUAUUUUGAGAGAGAGAAGGGGGGAGGGACACACAGAGAGAGAAUCCCAAGCAGGCUCCAUGCUGUCAGUAAGUACAGAGCUUGACUCAGGGCUUGAUCCCACGAACCAGGAGAUCGUGACCUGAGCCAAAAUCAAGGGUCAGAUGCUUAACUGACUGAGCCACCCAGGCACCCCCGAUUUGGACUAUGUUAGAUUCCACAUAUAAUUGAAAUCAUACGGUAUUUAUCUUUCUUGUGUUUGCCUUAUUUCACUUAGCACAAUACCCUCCAGGUCUAUCCAUAUUGUCAUAGAUAGCAGGAUUUUCUUCUUUUUAUGGCUGAUUAAUAUUCCAUUGUGUGUACUGCAUUUCCUUAACCAUUCAUUUCUUGUCAUUUAGGUUGUUUCCAUAAAUUAGCCAUUGUGAAAAAUAUGUGUUCACCUUGCAUCCAUCCAUCCAUUCAUCCAUCCAUCCAUCCAUCCACCUUUCUGACCAUAGUAGACAUCAGAAGUUGGGCUGAUAUGAUACAGUAAGUAGACCAGAUCCAGAAUGGCAGCUGAAAUUGAAAUGACAGUCUGAUUUCUGUAACAUAAUUUGCCAUCAUUCUCCAACUCCAAGAUACAUCUGCUCAAGCCAAACAGGUAAGUUAAAUGAAGAUAUGAUAGGGGCCACAGGUAGUUUGCUGAUAAACUGGUUUUCAGAAAAGAAAAAAAAAAGAAAGCCUGAUUUGUAAUGUUUCCCAAUUUCUCUGGUUUAAAUAGUCCCAACAUGGCCAAUUUUAAGCUACCAAAGUAACGUCACUGAAAAUGCAGUUGGGAGGUAAUGUUAACAAUCAGAACAAUUGUUAUGAAUAAAUGAGAAUAAUGUCAACAGUUCUUGUGGGCUUGCACGAAGUGAUUCUAGCACACCACUGGGUCACCAACCUUGCAUUUUUUUUAAGUGUUCUGUGGUGGCACUAUUCUCUGUGAUUCUCCUAGAAAUGUGGCAUUGGUUUUGAUUUACUCUAUUGUUAGGGAGAAGGCUGG